CUUCAGAGUGAAGGCAUAUCAGUUAUUCUUGAACAAGUCAAUACAGCUCUGCAAAAGGGAGACACUGUUCCUCGCAUGUUUUAUUUCCAGUUCAGACAUUUCAAUUAGAUUCUUUCUAAAUGCUGCCACUUUCUUCCGUUUGAAAUUUAUCAGUUCUUCCUUUGCAGAUUUGGAAAGCUAUUCAAAUUUCUGGCAGCACUCCUCCUAGUGUACCUUAGCCAACUUGACAUCUUUGCUCUUUAAACUGGGCCUUAUCCAGAGCUUUGUUUGAUUUUUCAUAGUCAAUGAGGGCUUUGGUGCAUCUGUGUAAGAGAUCCUUAGCAGCUUCGAUGUUGAGCAUGUAGUAUCGGAGGAGCUCUGUUAGCUUUAAAUCUUCAUCUGAUGAGAUUCAACCCUCUACUUUCCUAAGUUUUUCAAAUAGCUCAGCAACCUUCAAUAGAUACUUUUUGAUGACUGUGGGCUCUUCUAAAGCCAGGCUAUGUAAGCAGGCUGCAGUGUGAAUAUAGUCAUCGGCAACAUUUUUAUGAGAUCUGGUCAUUUUGUCAGCUUUCACACAAGAAUCUUUGAUCCUACUCUAAUAGUUAAUAAGGAAGUCAUUCUCUUGCUCAAAGAAGUCAUCUACCUCCUUAACUCCAGUAAAAAGGACUGCAUCAGCACUUUCACCACACUUUUGAAGAAGCCACCAAACAUCUCUUUAGUAUUUUUCCACCUAACACUUAGAUCCUGAUCAUAUUCCAGGAAAAUAUGAAAGUUGCGAUCUUUACUGAGAACAGGGUGAGAAGAAAGCCACUAAAGAAAGGCUUCAUGGGAGGACACAGUCUUCUUAAAAACAGCGAGAUACUCAGCUUCCAGUUCUUAUUUCAUCUUGGCAAAUUCUUCUUUGGUCAAAGACCCUUUACCUUCUCCCAGUUUCUGCAUCUUCUCUCAAGGACCAUUGAAGUCAGCCUUCGUAGGAGCAGGCGGAAUCUGCAGCAGAGGCAGGAACUCAUGAGUCUCUUGGUACAUGAAGAGUGUCAUGUAGUCACACAAAGUCCUCAUGUUGCCUUGUAACAGAAAACUCUGGAUUCUGAAAUGUGGGCAGUGUGGUCUUUGUGUGCACUGUAAAUUUGACCUUAUCUCUCUCACUGAGCGCAUCAGGUAUGUCAAUCUGAAGUGAGGGAUCAACAUUCAGGUCCACAGAUACAGAUCUCAGCUUCCUGUGGUCCUCCUCCUGCUGCUGCAGCAACUCAGGAACUGUGGCCAUGGCAACGCAGGACUCAAGCAG
rnacentral:lncRNA from 1 species